ensembl:lncRNA
CUUGUCAAAGACGUACUCUGCCAGGCUGCCUUCCGGGGACCCCACGUUGCUCAGGUUGCUGACAUGGUCUCCCAGCUCCUUGAUGAACUUGACCUGCUGGUCCAGGUAGCCGGUCCCCAGGAAGUGGCACAGAUUGGGUGUGGAAGGCUUCAACCCAUCCUGUGAAUGUAUCAACAAAUGCUAGAUGUUUAUAUCCUGACAGUGUGGACAUUUGGAUGAAAUCUUAACUACCAGUCUUCCUCCAGAUCAAGUCUAUCCUAAAGGAAAUCCAGUCCAUCCUAAAGGAAAUCAGUCCUGAAUAUUCACUGGAAGGACUGAUGCUGAAGCUGAAACUCCAAUACUUUGGCCACCUGAUGCGAAGAGCUGACUCAUUUGAAAAGACUCUGAUGCUGGGAAAGAUUGAGGGCGGGAGGAGAAGGGGACAACAGAAGAUAAGUUGGUUGGAUGGCAUCACCGACUCGAUGGACGUGGGUUUGAAUAAACUGCAGGAGUUGGCGAUGGACAGGGAAGCCUGGCAUGCUGCAGUCCAUGGGAUCACAGAGUCGGACACAACUGAACAAGUGAACUGAACUGAACAUGAGCAGGUUCCCACUUCUGCAAAACCGCUCCCAUCAGUAAGCCUCUUGGCCUCAGGGCUACCAAGAGGCUCAUCUAGAAGAUCAGACCUGUUGGAGUAAGUUUGUUUUGGGGUCUCCAUACACUGAUGCACUAAGUCUCCACUCUUGAUAGCUGGAAGCAGAGUUGCUGGGUUCAGGGUUUGGCACACCUUUAAGGUAAUGUCAGGGGUAUUAGGAGGGCCUGAUACCUUGUUAACCUACUUGUAGUCAACCACUGAUGUCCUUUGACUUCCAGAAUAGAUUGUAUCUGAUGAGGGAUUAAUACAUGUAAGUGUUGUCCCAGGGUGAGCUUGGAAACAUCAUAACCAACAGGGCUGUGGCUGCUACCGCCUGCAGUUAGCUUGGCCAUCCCAGGGCCACUGAGUCCAGUUGUUUUAAAAAUAAGCCAGUGAUGUCUGAUCUGGUCCCAGCUUUUGGGUCAGGACAACCCGUGCAGUCCCUCACCUGUCGUGAACAUACAGGAUAAAUGGCUUGUCCAAAUUUGGAGGCCCUGGUGCUGGUGCUCAGUUCAACUCAAUCUUUAUAGAGUCUCAAAGUCCCACUGGUUGUCCAUAGUCUGCUGGGAGCCAGUGUGAGGAAUCCCGCCCAUGACAAGGUCAUGAGGAAGGAAGCUGACAUACGCAAGGCAUGCUCAGACUUCAGGGGCCCCUCUGGAAAUUCCUAAGCAUGUACCCCCAAAAAAAUCUGCCGGUUUUUGUGCUCUGCUUUUCCACUCUUCUGACAUUCUCUGGAAAAAGUCAAUUCAGGGCUUUAGUCUUCUGCAUUUGAAAGAGUGUUUCAAUCCAAAAACCCCUCUGAUGGCUUUCUAGCUGCCUGCAGGACUCUUACAGCUGUGUGUGUUAUUGUUUGAGGCCUCCUGACCGCAGGAGGCACAGGAAGCUUAAAACAUCCUAGGAAUGUAGGGGCUUCCGUCAAAAUCAUUAGAAUAGGACUGAUUAAAAGUUUCAUUUGUUGAGUCAAUACUUGCUGCCAAAUUUCCAUAUCCUUUAUUUUUAGAUAUAGUUGGUAUAUAGAGAGACAAGUAGUAGACCUGGUAUUAGCAACAUUAGAUCUUUGAGUUAAGUACCUUCUUUGUUAUAACCCACUGCACCUUUGUUCUACAGAGAUGUAACUUUAGCGCUUUAAGGAAAUGCAGAUUAAAGAAAAACAGUUAGGGGAAACGAGAUUAACAUUCAUUAAGAAAGAGAGCCAAAAAAGUGUUAACAAGCCUCCUGGCCAGAAGAUAAUGUAAAUCACCUGAGACCUUUUGUAUACAAAAAAUAUACAGAAAGAGUCUGGGCUGCGAACGCUACAUAAUUUUGUAUUACCCAUUGAUCUCUAUGUAUAAUCAAAAGUAUAAAAGGCCUUGAAGGACAAUAGAAGGAGAGCCAGUCCCUGGACUGGUUUCCCCCGUGUCUCCUCUUUACUCUAAUUUCAGGCUGAAUUCCCGUCUAGGGCGUGGAGGCUCACUAUGUCUACUUACUUCCCCGGGCUUUUAAGAUCUGUAAGAGAGAGAGCCCAAGGCGGGGCACUCUCUGAUAUUCAAACGGGUGCUGGCGGCCUAACGUAGAUGGUGCAAGCUCCUUGUCUGGAGCUUUAUUGGUUUUCCACCUAACCCAAGUUAAUCAGCCUCUUCUAUCCACUUAAUUUUCUUAUUACACUACUUCUUCCUAAUCUAAUCUUAUAUUAAUAAAUAAAUAAGUUUUCCUUGCCGACUCUGUCCACCCUUCGAAUUCCCUGGAUCCACCGGGGCUGGACCCUGGCAAUAGUCCAUUGAAGGGUUUCCCUUUUUCCUCCCUUUGGAGCCUCAUAGAGGGGUUUGCUGUUGGUGGUGGUGGUGGUGCUGCUGCUGCUGCUGCUGCUGCUGCUGCUGCUGCUGCUGCUGCU